CACCCGAUGGCUGAAUUUUAAGUGUAGGUCUUUUAAACCUAAGAUAGUAUUUUACUUCAGGUGA
rnacentral:tRNA from 1 species